UCCCGGUUAACCCGGGCAGUCUCGCUAGAGUGCCCAACUUAAUGAUGGCAACUAACGAUAAGGGUUGCGCUCGUUGCGGGACUUAACCCAACAUCUCACGACACGAGCUGACGACAACCAUGCACCACCUGUCUUCCUGCCCCGAAGGGCUUCCUCUAUUAAGAGUAAUUCAGGAGAUGUCAAGUUUAGGUAAGGUUCUUCGCGUUGCUUCGAAUUAAACCACAUGCUCCGCUGCUUGUGCGGGCCCCCGUCAAUUCCUUUGAGUUUUAAUCUUGCGACCGUACUCCCCAGGCGGAAUACUUAUUGCGUUAGCGGCGGCACAGAAGUCAUGACAACCCCUACACCUAGUAUUCAUCGUUUACGGCGUGGACUAC
rnacentral:misc_RNA from 1 species